CGCACAUUGCGCCCCUUGGUAUUCCGAGGGGCAUGCCUGUUCGAGCGUCAUUUCAACCCUCAAGCUCUGCUUGGUAUUGGGCUUCGUCCUCCACGGACGCGCCUUAAAGACCUCGGCGGUGGCGUCUUGCCUCAAGCGUAGUAGAAAACACCUCGCUUUGGAGCGCACGGCGUCGCCCGCCGGACGAACCUUUGAAUUAUUUCUCAAGGUUGACCUCGGAUCAGGUAGGGAUACCCGCUGAACUUAA
rnacentral:misc_RNA from 1 species